rnacentral:rRNA from 1 species
AAUCAACGCUGGCGGCGUGCCUCAGACAUGCAAGUCGAACGAUUAAAGCUCUCUUCGGAGAGUGCAUAGAGUGGCGCACGGGUGAGUAACACGUAAGUAAUCUACCUUCGAGUGGGGAAUAACGUCCGGAAACGGACGCUAAUACCGCAUAAUGCAGCGGCAUCGCAAGAUGACAGUUGUUAAAGAUUUAUCGCUUGAAGAGGAGCUUGCGGCAGAUUAGCUAGUUGGUAAGGUAAUGGCUUACCAAGGCUACGAUCUGUAACCGGUCUUAGAGGACGGUCGGUCACACUGACACUGAAUAACGGGUCAGACUCCUACGGGAGGCAGCAGUCGGGAAUUUUGGGCAAUGGGCGAAAGCCUGACCCAGCAACGCCGCGUGAAGGAUGAAGUAUUUCGGUAUGUAAACUUCGAAAGAAUGGGAAGAAUAAAUGACGGUACCAUUUAUAAGGUCCGGCUAACUACGUGCCAGCCGCCGCAGUAAAAC